UAAAACAGGUAGUCAUUCGUGCAAUAUGUUUUUAUUAUACACUCAGAAAAAUGUGUUGGUUCAAUAAAAUAAGUCUAGCAUCCUCUCGAAUAUUUCUCCCAGUCAGUAAGUUGAUACAUCAUUGUGGACUUCCCUAUCAAUUUAUUCUAAAACAAGAUUUCUUGACCCCGUUAACGUGUUUUCUUUAGAAACUGCUUAUUGAAUCUGCAUUCAAUAAUCUGCAUUCAGAUUUUUGACAUCUGAUUAAAAUUUAUAUGAAAAAAAUGUAAAACAGUACAGCACCGAGUAUCUUUGUUAAUUGGCUGGUGAGAAUAUGUUCAUGAUAAAAGUUCUAGCUUUCAUUUUCUUAUAACUAUUUAUUAUAUAUAAUGUCUCUUUCAAUAGAGGCUGAAUUUUUUGUUACAGAAGAGGAUAAGAAGAUGCUGGAUUAAGAAACAACUGCAGUGGCAAUUCGCUAUUGGCUCUCAGGUCUUUGAGUACGAUUCGUCAAUAAUUUUGUCCAGCAAAAGUAUCCGGAGUGCUUUAUUUACAAAGUGAUACACAAAAAAUGGUUUACAAACGUAAACCGCAAUUUCACAUGCAGCGCGAAAUGUUCUAGAAACUUUCACAAAAGGAGCCCGAAAAUGGCGUUCAUCGGAAUCCCUGAACAAGACACCUUUGUCCAAGCACAUACCGAGUGAUACUAAUGUACGUGGUUCUUUCUGGCAGCUUUGACGCUUUUUAUAAACUUCUUGAUUAUUGACAAUCAAUAGUUUUCGCUAUAACACCAGGACUCAGACCCUGACCACGAAGAGUGACGUCAUUUAAAACGCCCGAUAAAGGAACGGACGUUUUCCAGUGGAAAUAAUGAAAGUCAAUUUUGGUUCACACAAAGAAAUUUCCUACUCCGACGAUGCUUAUCUUUAAUAAAUUGCAGGAGAGACAUUUUACGUCGUAGGAUUAUAUUGGGUCUUGAUGAAUUACCGUCAUUUGACCUUUUCCACGACCUUCGAUCUUUGGCAAGAGACUUUCGGUUCGUUCUGGAAUCCCUCCACCAAC